ACUGCAUUGCUCAUGGCUGCUCCUUUAGCUCUGGGAGAUGUGGAAAUUGAGAUAGUAGAUAAAUUAAUUUCUAUUCCUUAUGUUGAGAUGACAUGGAAACUGAUGGAACGCUUUGGUGUCACUGUGGAGCACAGUGGUAGCUGGGACCGAUUCCUGGUCAAGGGUAGUCAAAAAUAAAAGUCCCCUGGAAAUGCUUAUGUUGAAGGCGUUGCAUCAAGUGCGAGUUAUUUCCUAGCAGGCACAACAGUCACUGGUGGCACUGUCAUAGUUGAAGGUUGCAGCACGAGCAGUUUACAGCAUCAAACUGGCUGCAGUUGCUUCUUGUAAGGAACACAUAAAUCUGGAGCAAUGGCUGAACGAAAAUCUGAGCACAUACAAGGAUACUUUUUUCGAGGAUUGCCUCAAGUUCUUAAAAGAAAUACCUUUUGCAGCAACAAAUGAUGCAUCUGCCAAUCCUUUCCAACAUUCCAGCUUUGUCAUGAAUCUUUAUCUAGAGACAAGUUCUACUCUUUUGAAGGUCCUUCAAGCCCAUUAUGGCCAGCUCAUCUCCCACCAACUUUCUGAAGAAUUGAGAAGGUUGCAGGCAUCAUCUGUGCAUGCUAAUCUAAGACUGCAAAAUGGUGGAGCUACAGAUUCAUCAACACAUGAUGCAUCAUAUCUGAUUAUUCACUGGCCUCUUCAGAUCAACAUAAAAUAAUCUUUUUUAACAUCUAUGUCCAAACACAGUUCAAAAUGUAUGAUUAUUCAUUGGCCCUUCACUCACUGCUGAAGCAUAUGUUUGUUAAGUCGCACUCUUUGUCAUGCAGCAUAUUGCGAACCUUGCUGGGAGCAAAACUCUAGUUCUGCCUGUGCUUGCAUUUAAUGUCAUCAAUGGAGGAUCACAUGGUUUC